GUAGGCUCCGGCUUCCCGCAACACCAUAUGGUAUAAAUCAGUUUGGUAAAUGACAUGAUAUGACAUGACCUUUGUGUCAUACCAGUUAUUCAAAAUCCUCCAAUACCAAGUGGAAACUUUGUGGGAGUACAUUUGAAAGCAAGACCAGGUGAGUACUUCUUUACAUACAGCAUAAUGUGAGUGUGGAACAAGCUACCCAGCCACGCUGUUGAAGCUGAUACCCUGGUUUCUUUCAAGAAGAUUCUCAAAUUAAUCAGCUACUACCAAAUGAGCUGGACAGCUCUGAUGACCUAAGGCUCCUUCAGACUUCCCCAGUAUUGUCCCAGCGAGGGGAUGCAGACAAAAGUAAGGAGAAAGAGCAGCAGAGACAGCAGGUCAAGGAAGUGGAGAACGGCCUGUGCAAUCUGACCUGAGUUUCCCAAUAAAAUCUGAGUGUUUUUAGAGUAGACAUAUGAAAGUUAUCAUAUAAAUGGUCUUUAAAUGGUCUUUCAAGGUGCAUUAGAAAAAUCUUUGAUGUUUUAUCACAAAGAGUCUAUUAUAAUUAACAAAUGGAAGAUGUGAAUGAUCUAAAAUGGGUAUCUACAGUAUGUGUAUCUAAUAUCUGUAGGCAUCUUAGACCUUUAAGGCUGAAAUUAGACAGAACAGGUCAAGAUCCUUGGGUCAAUAACUGCUAAUUAUCAAAGGGCAGGCUAGGCUGAAUGGUCCAUUCUCGUUUGUUCUAAUGUCCUUAUCCUACAUUUGUUAAUUACACAAAAAACCCUGUUGCUUGUCUUAAACAUGUCUAUAAGACACAGUCGGGAUUUAGGUUUGUAGCGAAUAAUGCCGUUUUUAUUUCCUGUUAGAGUAACAAGGAUGGAUACCGACCUGUUAGCAAACGAUAAAGUGUUAUCCAUCAGACAGAUCAAGGGCUACAACUUGCAACUUGCAACUUGGGAAAAAAUGAACCUGCGUAGCUUUGUGUUGAUUGUACAGUGAAUGACAUCAGAGCCAGGUGUAUACACUAUAGAUUUUUCAAUCGGUUUAAGAACAGACGUAUCAUUCAAAAGUGAGCUCAAGUAGGUCAUGUAAUAAGAUAUUGGUGAGACCGUCAAGAAUGACAAUUGAGUUUCCAGUCUUUUCUGUUUUGACCCUCAUUGUAUGCUGCAGUUGAUGCCGAUCUGAACGAUUCCAUGAAAGCUUUCUAUAGGAAGUCCAAUGCACACAUGAUAUGUUGUGUAGCUCGGUUAUAUAAGCAGCACAUGUAGAUCUUAGUCAAUACAAAUCUUCAUACGGUUCUUAAUUUUACGACUGCUGAUGAUGAUGUAUAUUUGUAUUUUCGUUUUGAAUGCGGUUUCCUGAGCAACUUCCUGAAGGGCCUUCCACGCAAGACCUGGGGGUAGGAUUCAAAAUAGUGGACUGGACCGGCCUGUCGAGUCCCAGUGAUUCCACAAAAAUCAUUGCAUCUUAAUAGAAAACAAACUGUGAAAACUGGGUCGUUUGUACUCUGCACUGGUGGCGUGUGGAAGACUCCAUUCUGAUCAAUUGUAAUCUCCCUGAGCAUUACCGUGAGUGUCUGGAACCCGAAACUGAAGCACCAAGAAAUCUGAUCCUCCCUGCUGAGGCAUAAUGAGAAACACUAAAUGCACAUCACCAAACAAUUGUUGGUCUCGUCGUCUUGCAUUUUAUGUCUCAGUUCUCUCAGUAGACGGUAAAAAUGCAAAUGUGUAAAUUAUUUUGAUUUUAUUCAUUUAAAGCAUAGUCGUAGUCUCUCAGUUCCUGUUGAUAAAUCACACAACCCAAAAGCAGUUUCCAAUUUGAAUUGGAAACAACUGGUUUUAUGUGUAUGGCUGGAAAUCAAGGGUGAAUUUCUAAGCCAGCCUUUAUUUCAAUAAAUCAUUCAGUAGGGAAGGCAUAAGUCCUAUCUUUCUGUGAUUGAAAGAAGGCUAAAUAAUUCAUAUUUUAAUAUUUUAGUCUCUUUAGUAGGCUACAUUUCUGUAAAUAUAUUAGUACUAAUACCUUGUAAGAUGAAAUUUCAAAUAGCCCUAUAUGAAAUCCAGUCACAUGCCACACUGCCAGAGCUGGAUCAUUAUCAUCAACAGAGAUUCCUCAUUUAACCUGUCUUUCUGAUGGUCUCUUUGUCUUCUUUACCUCACUCUCAUAUUUACUGUAAAUAUAUAUGACAAAAAAACAAAACAAAUUAAGGCAGGCAAAACAGAAAUCAUUGAGCUUUUUGUCUUUUGGCAAAAGGACAGAACCAACACUGGCCAGACACUACAAAUUCUAAUACAUCAGCAAAGUCUGCCGUUCUAGUAUUGAAAUAUGUUCAAUAUAGUGGCUUGUGCAUAGCUCCAAGACCUCAGAUAACAUUAAAAGGUACAAUGUAGAAUCUCUCCAGAGUGUUCCUGACUUGUGAGCUGCUUCCCAGAUGGGACUAUGAUACUGAUAAGAGACCAGUGAGCAGGCAACAUGUAUAAUCCAAACUGCAAAAUGCACAGACACCUUAGAUAUUAGUCACACUAAUGAACUACUGGCUACAGAGUAGCAUUUGCAUUAAAUUCAGUAGCAGAUCCCUAACUUACUUAAAUGGCAUUGAACACUGUGCGCGCAUUUGUCAGAGUAUUGAGCAAUCAUUGCUUUCUGUGCUAUUUAUUUAUUUAAGUGUUGUGCUUGCCUUAUGACAUCAAAUGAUCACACUGGGUCGCUGAUCUCUCCUGGCAAUAGACUGUGCUGUCAUGAUAAGGCCUGCAGUGUUGUACUGACUCCUAUUGCACAGGGUUGCCGGACAGGAGCAGGCCUCUACCAGGCCCUGCUCCCGACUGGUGCUGCACACCCCUCCGAAUCGCACGUCUCGGUGGAACCUUGUUUUAUUCCCCAUCUGCCACAUGUCGAGCCCACAGGGAGCCAUGAGGAAUACGUUUCUGCCUGCAUGCCAGCUGAACCUGCCUGUCGCCGACUGCCGUUGUGUGCCGAGAAUGCCAGGAGACCAGAGCACUGUCCCAGCUUGGAACACAUUGGAAUGCAAGUGCUGCCGCCUCUCCUCCGCCGACCCAGGCUCUCGGGAUGAGUCGUGCCGUUUUCUUUCUCUCACUCUGGCCCCAGUGGCCCGAGCUGGUUUUCAAAACUCAAUUCCCCCCAAAAAAAUCCAAUGCCUUGUGCAUCCACAAAGGCUCACUCCAAGGCCAGUUUGAGCAGCUGAAGCAGGUUUUUUUUUUGCAAUCGAUCCGGCUUCAGAGAUAAAGCAGUUUGGGAAUUCACUUUUUUUUAUUAAAUGUUACCUUACAUCCUGUCAAAAGCUAAAAUAACAAUAUCUCUGCCAUAUACAAGAAUUCAUCAUUUUAAACGUAUGCCAGUAAGUACAGCUGAAAAAAAUCCAGUACUUCAGAAUGAAAGUGAUAUUUUUGCAUUAACUGUUCUUCCUUGUUCCUUUCUAAUGAUCCUAGAUGCUUUCCUGGCUUGUGGGGGGUCUAGCAUUCAGCCUAAUGGCUGACAAGACGUUAAACUGCAGAAUCCCGGAGAUGUGCACUUUUUGUCAGCAGCAAUCGCUAGUGAUGACAGUAAAUGGUGGAAUCGCAAAGUAAAAGCCUAGUGUGCUGAUACGGCGUAUUAAUCAUCUGUCAUUACCAAACCCUUUGCAGUGAGUAAGUGUGGAAUUCUUUUAAUAACAGAGGCUUUAGCAGUAGAGCAUCCAUCACAUUUCAAGACAAGACAAUUGAUGCUCCAGAUCCCGAAAAAGCAAACCAGGAAAAGGGAUUAAUCUGGAGUCUUUUCACAAGACUCACUUUCCAUGUAAUAUCACAACGCAAUUGCAGAAUAAUAAAAAAAUAAAUAAAACAGAA